GGAGCUCAGUCAGUAGAGCGUGAGGCUCUUGAUCUCAGUGUCAUGGGUUUGAGCCCCACGUUGGGCA